rnacentral:rRNA from 1 species
CAGCAGCCACGGUAAUGCGAAGGGGGCUAGCGUUGCUCGGAAUCACUGGGCGCAAAGGGUGCGUAGGCGGGUCUUUAAGUCAGGGGUGAAAUCCUGGAGCUCAACUCCAGAACUGCCUUUGAUACUGAAGAUCUUGAGUUCGGGAGAGGUGAGUGGAACUGCGAGUGUAGAGGUGAAAUUCGUAGAUAUUCGCAAGAACACCAGUGGCGAAGGCGGCUCACUGGCCCGAUACUGACGCUGAGGCACGAAAGCGUGGGGAGCAAACAGGAUUAGAUACCCGGGUAGUCCCUGUCUCUUAUAC